rnacentral:misc_RNA from 1 species
UCACCGUUUACACGGGCAGUUUCUCUAGAGUUCCACCAAUUAAGGUAUGGCAACUAGAGAUAGGGGUUGCGCUCGUUAUGGGACUUAACCCGACACCUCACGGCACGAGCUGACGACAGCCAUGCAGCACCUAGACAGUUGUUCUUGCGAAAAAUCUCCUUUCAGAGACGGUCAUCUGUCUUUCAAGCCCAGGUAAGGUUCCUCGCGUACCAUCGAAUUAAACCACAUGCUCCUCCGCUUGUGCGGGCCCCCGUCAAUUCCUUUGAGUUUCAACCUUGCGGUCGUACUCCCCAGGUGGAUCACUUAAUGCUUUCGCUUAGUCGCUGACUGUAUAUCGCCAACAACGAGUGAUCAUCGUUUACAGUGCGGACUAC